GACCGCGUAGCUCAGUUGGCAGAGCAUUGGGCUAGUAUUCCAAAGGUCGUAGGUUCGAUUCCCACCGCGGCCA